CAUUCAUCACCUGGUUCACUCUUGUUACUAAAUCGUGAUACUCUUCCUUCUUCUUCUCUGUUGUCCUUGUUAUUGUUUUCUCUUUUUGCUGCUGCUGUUGUUACUGUGGUUUGAGGAGCGAAAUUCGAUCUCAUAUGCUUUGUUCAUGUUGUGGCUCGCUUCGAUUUACCUCAUUUAUUACCGAAUUCAGUGAUUUCUUCACCGCCGUUAGGGAUCGAGCCUUCGAGUUUGUCCUGGAAUGUUCUUUCAAGUGGAUGUGCCAGCUCCAUGGAGGCUUGCUCGGGCGGCGCGUGUGAGUUUCAUGGUUGAUUGCGGAGGCGCGUUGGUCUCCGAUCUCUCCCAGACGAACGCCUGGACGGCGUUCAGAAUCAAAAUCAUGAAUAACCUAAAUCCCUAACCCCAACCCUAACACAAUUUCCCCAAUUUCACAACACUGAUGUGCGCAUUCUGCGUUUCUCUCUGCUCUGCCGAGUUCUGCUCUACUCCGCCGUGUUGUUCUGCUCCGCUGUGUUCUUCUCCUCGCAUCGAGUUCUGCUUUGCUCCACCAUGUUCUUCUGCUCACGCCGAGAAAUUUCAUGUAACUCAAUUAGAUUACAGUAAGGCCAUCUGUAGAUAAAUGUGAGGCAGAGUUGUUAAGCAAGAAAUAUGAGGAGAAGUACAAACAUUGUAGCGGAAAUAACAUCUAAAUUGAUUGUUGAAGAAGCUAAAUUUCGUGAUAUACAGGAGAAAAGAGGGACUGCACGGGGAUUCAGUUUAAGCCACCUGGGUGUUGGGUCCACUUCCAUGGUUGAAGGUGGUCAAGUUAGCCAUCUUCACAUGCUUCUUGUUCUGCACUCUUCCUCUUAGUUGUCUUUUUUUGUCUUUACCUUUAUUUCAGUCAAUUCUUUUACUUUCACAAUUAAACUUUAUUAAUACCUACAAUUUUCCAGAUCUUGAUUCUCAAUAUCUAUUUACUUUGGUAUUCUUCAACUAAAUGACUUUAUCUAUUACCUACAAUUAAACUUAAUGUCAUUUCCAAAACAGUUUGUGAAAAUAAGUUUUUGAAUAAAUAAUAGAUCUAUAAACUAUCUAAACAAAAUUAACUUUAUUUAUUACUUUUCUUUUUGGGGUGUCAAGAAACAAAAUUAACUUUUAAUAACAUCACUUUAGAAAUAGUGAGGAAUUGAUGGGAAUUGGGGAUGGUAUUUGUCGCCAAAAAAGAUAGUGCAAUUCUCAAAGUCUUAGAAGUCAUUUAUUAAAAAGAAUUCUUAACAAAACAUUAUUGUUCUUUCAUAGGCAUGCGUCGGUUUGCUUAGGUUAUGCAAUAGCCGUUAACUAGGGAAGGUCAUUUCGAAAUAGUCUUGGAGAAAAGCAUAUGAUUUUAUAACAUAUGAAUGAUUUUGAUGGACUUUCAUAUGGUUACUUGAGGGCCUUUGGUUACAGAAGAAAAGCGCGUUUUGGAUUCAGAACUUUGGCAUGCAUGUGCUGGUCCCCUUGUUUCUUUACCAGUUGUUGGAAGCUGAGUUGUGUACUUUUCACAAGGUCACAGUGAACAGAAGCAUGCAAAUUGCUGAGGCUCUCCAAAUGCAAAUGGAGGUGCAGAAGAAACUUUAUAAGCAAAUUGAGGUGCAGAGACAUUUGCAGCUUAAGAUUGAAGCACAAGGGAAGUACUUGCAAUCAGUACUACACAAGGCAUAAGAAACACUUGCAGGAAUGAUCAACAAUGGCAGCCCGGGAUCUCCUCCGAUUUCGGAACUGACAGAAACAAGAGGAGGGUUCAGUUGGAGCUGUGGGAAGAGGAAACAGAAUAGAGGAACCAUGUGUUCACUUGAAAUUUAAAGUUCUUUGACAUCUUCUGAAAGCUCAAUGGAUCAAAGGCCUAAUAGUACUAACACUACUAAUACUGCUUCACUUGAAUUGUUGCCACUCUUCAAAGAAUCUAAGGAACAAGAAGAUGAAUCUAUUAUUAGGAGAAAGAGGAGUUCAAGCUGCUUUGUUGAUCAGCCAUCAAAGAUGAGCAGAUCUAAAUUAUUAUAUAAAGCUGUGUUCUUCC